ACUUGGUAUGCUUCUAUUUGCUGCAUGGCGAUCUUGUGACCUCUGGAUUUCAUUGGAGUUGCUGGUUAUAUUGAAUCAUAAGACAAAUAGAUUGUUGUAAUCUUAUUUGAACUGCUACGACUAAGUACAUGACAUUGAUUACAUAUUUACAUGUAAGAAAUUGUAAUUCAUUAUUUUAGCUUUCA